AUGAUGCACAAGGAUGGGAUGAGAGUAACAAUGGAGCACAAACAAAACAAGUUUAUGAUCAACCAUCAUAUAAAAACCUGUUAGACAAGAAGCCUCUAAAGAGUGACCUUCUUAGGUUGUUCAAAAAUUCUGAUGUUCAUAGUAAAAUUAUUGGUACUGCACUUGAUGUUAAAGUGAAUGAUCUGUCACCUUUUCCUCAGUAUACCUCAGAUAACCUCAUACUAGUGUUUGAGAGAUGGAUAGAGUCUGAUAUUGAUGUGACCUGGAGGAACAUACUUGAAGUUUGUGAAGAUUAUCCAGAUGAACUUGGACAAGCAAAAUCUGAUUUGGAGAGAUUCCUGUCUUCAGAUAGAGCCCGUAGAAAAUAUGAUAAGUAACAAUACAUUGACAUUGAGUUUUGAUUGAAUGCAUACACACAUGAUACUUUAAUGGACUAUACAUGACAUGCAUACAUUAUACUUAUUGCUAUUGUUACUGCCACUAUUAGUAUUAGUAUUAUCUUGGUAUUAUUAUUAUUUAUUGAAUUGUAAUUAUUGCUUCAUUGGUUCUGUUUUUGUAUUCUUGUAUUGUUUUUGUAUGUACUGGUAAAAAAUUAACAGAAAAAAUUUGAUUUCAGUUGAAAUCAGCUAAAA